UACGUAGGGUGCGAGCGUUGUCCGGAAUUACUGGGCGUAAAGAGCUCGUAGGUGGUUUGUCGCGUUGUCCGUGAAAACUCACAGCUCAACUGUGGGCGUGCGGGCGAUACGGGCAGACUGGAGUACUGCAGGGGAGACUGGAAUUCCUGGUGUAGCGGUGGAAUGCGCAGAUAUCAGGAGGAACACCGGUGGCGAAGGCGGGUCUCUGGGCCAGUAACUGACGCUGAGGAGCGAAAGCGUGGGGAGCGAACAGG
rnacentral:rRNA from 1 species